AUGUUGAGCUGGCUCCGUUGUUUCCCGCACGACGGCACCGUCAUGGACGAGGAGAGGAAGCCCAGGCCCGGGAGGAGCGCCACUUUCAGGAAGAAGCAUAGCCCCGAUGCCGCGCCGUCUCGGAAACGGUUCGUCCGGUCGGGCACCUCGCUCACCGCGUCCUCGUCGGCACGAGCCAGCUUCGGCCGCCACUCCGUCGACGUCCCCAACUACAACCACAGCAUCGUCUCGGCGCGCUCCUUCACCUUCCCUGAGCUCGCCGCCGCCACGGACAGCUUCAGCCAUGCCAACCUCAUCGGCGAGGGCGGCUUCGGCCGCGUCUACAGAGGCCUCAUCGGCUCGUCGGCGGUGGCCGUCAAGCAGCUCGACCGCACGGGGUUCCAGGGCGACCACGAGUUCCUCGUGGAGGUGCUGGUGCUGAGCAGCCUCCUGACCCACCCCAACCUCGUCGGCCUCCUGGGCUACUGCGCCGACGGCAACCAGCGGCUCCUCGUCUACCAACUCAUGCCGCUCGGCUCCCUCGAAAAUCACCUCUUCCUCCCCCGAGUCCCAGCGGACGGCGAAGAGAAGCCACCACCGCCGGUUCUGCCGUGGCGGACCAGGAUGAGGAUCGCGCACGACGCCGCCCAGGGCCUGGAGUUCCUCCACGAGACUGCCAACCCGCCGGUGAUCUACCGCGACCUCAAGUCCUCCAACAUCCUCCUCGACGAGGGAUACAACGCCAAGCUCUCCGACUUCGGCCUCGCCAAGCUGGCCACACCGAUCACCCGCAACGGCAAGGGCGGUGACGCGGAGGAGGAGAAGGACGGUUCGUCGAGGGUGAUGGGCACGUACGGUUACUGCGCGCCGGAGUACGUGAGGAAGGGGCACCUGACGGUGAAGUCGGACGUGUACAGCUUCGGCGUGGUGCUGCUGGAGCUCAUCACCGGCAGGCGGGUCAUCGACGAGAGCAGGCCCUCUGGGGAGCAGAACCUCGUGGCCUGGGCGGCGCCCAUGUUCAGCGAGCAGAGGAGGAUGCACGAGCUGGUGGAUCCGCUCCUGGUAGAAGGGCCGAGCGGCAGGGAGCUGAAGCAGGCGGUGGCGGUGGCGGCUAUGUGCUUGCAGGAGGAGGACACCGUAAGGCCCAUCAUGUCGGACGUCGUCAUGGCGCUCAGCUUCGCCGCCGACGACUUACCCUCGGCUCCCAGAUACACGUCACUUUAG
rnacentral:rRNA from 1 species